UCUAUACUCUAAAGUAUGUCUAUAUACAUCCGUAUGUAGUCCCUAGUGAAAUCUUUAAAAAACUUAUACUCCCUCCGCCUGAAAUUACUUAUCGCACAAAUAUAUAAAAAUGGAUAUAUCUAGAACUAAAUUACAUCUAGAUAUAUGAAUUCAUAUGACAAGUAUUUUCGGACGGUUGGAAUGUUUAAGAAUGGAGGGACUAUGUGACUAGUGGUUAUUUUCAUAUUUUACGUCGUGGCAAGCAAGCAAGCUUAAACAAAUUGGUGUUGAGCAUGCGAUCUUUAACUGUAAGGAAGGUGUACAUGACACUUGGUAUUCCGCUGCUCAUUCCUUCCGUUUGGCAGCUCAAGCAAGCAGCGGAUGGAAGAAUAACCUCCCUUCAUUCACUAAUCAUACUCCCCAGUCGGCCAUCGCUUUGUUGCAGUGUUGACAGCAUUGGACAACCUAUAAAUCACAUGUUAGAAAGGACAGUGGUGGGCGUGCUUUCUUUGCUGUCUCUGAAGGGGGAAAAGCCAGUAGAUAUCUUGACCUUGUGUGAACACCGAGGACUCCCAAGUCAAUGACUUAAACCUGAGGAGACGUGAUGCAACUUCCUCGUGGUUACCUGAGUUUCGUACUUUCUGUAUUUUGCCUAAGGCGGUUGCUUUCUGAGUUUGUUUUUUUAUGCACGGGCUUGUGUGAGAUCUUGUAUCUGCUCCAACCAGAAAAAUACUAGUAGCAGGGAAAUACGAGAAGUCUAGAGUGCAUCGUUGAGCGUUGGUUGGGCAAAUUGCAAUAUCAUCUUGAAGAAAAUCAAGAGGUCAAAGUCAAUUAAGAUGCGCUAGCAAGCUGAUACUAGUAUAUAACAGGUACAAGUACUCCCUCUGUUCUUUUUUAUAAGAGAGAUGCUCGGUCUGAAUUGUCUAAACAUCAGAGGGAGUACCAUAUAGAAGGAGAAAUCAACAUUACACAAUUUUGUUUACGAAAUGGACACAAUAUACUCCUUCCUUUCACUGUUAUAAAAAUGUUUUAACUUUUUUCUGAUUCA